AACAGAGCUCAUGUGUGAUAACGGGACCCUUUCUGCACCUGUUCCUGUCUGUUAUGGAAACUGUGACGUAGAUGCAAUUCCUUUCUCAAAUCAAACAACGGCUGAUUCUUUGGACCAUGAUGCAAGUAUCGUUAUAGCCUGUAACAGUGGGUACUCUACCGGUAUGGGUAUUCUAACAGAGCUCAUGUGUGAUAACGGGACCCUUUCUGCACCUGUUCCUGUCUGUUAUGGAAACUGUGACGUAGAUGCAAUUCCUUUCUCAAAUCAAACAACGGCUGAUUCUUUGGACCAUGAUG